UAUAAUCCUCCAGACUUCAGUGGUAUUUGCUGUCAUUUCCCCUUUUUCAUAUCUACUUUUAUUAAUUUGGAUCUUUGCAUUCUUUGGUAAAUUUGCCUAAUGCUUUAUCGAUCCUGUUAAUGUUUCCGAAGAACCAACUCUUUGAUUCACUGAUUCUUUGUGUUACUUUUCAGUCUCAAUUUCAUUAACUUCUUUGCUAAUCUUUAUUAUUUCUUUCAUUCUACUGGUUUUGUGUUUGUGCUCACUCUUCAUGGACUUGAGAUGCAUGAUUAGGCCAUUUCUUUAGAAGUACUCUGUUUUUCUAAUGUAGGCAUUCAUAGCUAUAAACCUUCCUGCUAAACCUGUUUUCAUUGUAUCUCAAAGUCUAGUAUAUUACACUUCCAUUAUCGUUUGAUUCUAGGAAUUUUUAACUUUCUAUCCUGAUUUCUUUAAUGAUCCACUGAUUCUUCAAAAUUUAUUCAAUCUGUAUGUUAUUUGUGUUCUAUGGCCUAUUUUGUUGAUUUCUAGUUUCAUUUCAUUAUGACUUGAGAAGGUACAUGAAAUUAUUUCAUUUUUUUUGUGCUUGUGAAGACUUGUUUUAUGGUCUAAAGUAUGGCUUUCGUGGGGGUUGGAAGGGGGACAGGGACAGGAUCUCCCUAUGUAGUUAAGCCUGGCCUUGAACUUACUGUGUAGCCCAGGCUGGCCUCAAACUCACAGUGAUUCUCCUGCCUCUGCCUCCAGAGUUUUGAGAUUACAGGCAUGCACCACCAUCUGUGGCUGGCUUAAUCUUGAAGAAAGUUCCUCAGGCUGCUGAAAAAAAUGUCUACUGUACCAUUGUGGAUGGAACACUCUGUAUCUGAAGAAAAAGUCAACCCCAAGAAGCCAAGUGCCUGGCGGAGCCACGCUGCUCCUCAGCAGCCGAGAGAGUUUGCAUAGGAAGGCACAACGCUCCUGCACUCACUCAUGUCUGGACGCUCGCAGUGGCCCCGGGCCAGCUUGGUGAAGGGCUGUGGUCCCCGCCCCCACUGGCCCCGGAACCGGAUCCACGGGCAGGGUCCGCACGUGUGGAGGGACUUCUGUCCGCAGACUGGCGUGUGCCCCAGCCUCUGAUGAGAUGAGCUGGUCACCUGGUCACCGUGGGUGAACAGAUUCCAAACCCACAGGCGGGUGUGCUGCGGAACAAAUCAAACUACACGUUUUAUUUGCUUAUGCUGAAUAUAUACUGAGUCCGCCAAGAAAAUGUGUGCACACUGCAGCAGCUCGCUGUACUGGACCUGUGUGGAAGCUCAUGGCCACCACUUGGAGCACCUCUUGUCACUGUAGAGGUCAAGGGGACCAAAGGGAGCUCGUAUUAGUAUUAUGAUGUCUCGAUCAAUUUAGUAUUAAAAUAUGUAUGCAAGCUUUUCUUUUCCCGAUGUACACAUUUUUCUGGCAGACUGUGUGCAUACAGUAGGUACCUGUUUGCAGUGCAUAAGAAUUAUAUUCCUUGUGGGGAGUUGGUGCAUGGACAUCACACAUCUCGGUUCAUUUUUCAUGCCCUGCUCCCUUUCGCUCCCUCCACCUCAAUCCCCUUCCCAUUUGCAAAACAUCUAUCUCCUAUUAUUUUUCAGUUUGCUUUUUAUUUAUAUUUUGGCCUUGUCAUAUAAGAGAAACCAUGACAUUUUUAA